AAUGAACGCUGGCGGCGCGCCUAAUACAUGCAAGUCGAGCGAGAAGGACGUAGCAAUACGUUUGUAAAGCGGCGAACGGGUGAGGAAUACAUGGGUAACCUACCCUCGAGUGGGGAAUAACUAGCCGAAAGGUUAGCUAAUACCGCGUACGCUCCUUGGACUUCGGUUCAGGGAGGAAAGCGAUACCGUGGGUAUCGCGCUCUUGGUUGGGCUCAUGUCCUAUCAGCUUGUUGGUGAGGUAACGGCUCACCAAGGCUUCGACGGGUAGCUGGUCUGAG
rnacentral:rRNA from 1 species